GCCUACACAUGCAAGUCGAACGGAGAAUCAGCAAUGGUUCUUAGUGGCGAACGGGUGAGUAACGCGUAGACAACCUGCCUCAAAGAUGGGGACAACACCGCGAAAGUGGUGCUAAUACCGAAUGUUGCAUUGGAUUCGCAUGAAUCUGAUACUAAAGGUGGCCUCUUUAAAUGCUACCGCUUUGAGAUGGGUCUGCGUCUGAUUAGCUAGUUGGUGAGGUAACAGCUCACCAAGGCGAUGAUCAGUAGCCGGUCUGAGAGGAUGAACGGCCACACUGGGACUGAGACACGGCCCAGACUCCUACGGGAGGCAGCAGUGGGGAAUCUUCCGCAAUGGACGAAAGUCUGACGGAGCAACGCCGCGUGAGUGAAGAAGGUUUUCGGAUCGUAAAGCUCUGUCUUUGAGGACGAAUGUGCUUAAUGUAAAUAAUGUUAAGUAAUGACGGUACUCGAGGAGGAAGCCACGGCUAACUACGUGCCAGCAGCCGCGGUAAUACGUAGGUGGCAAGCGUUGUCCGGAAUUAUUGGGCGUAAAGCGCGCGCAGGCGGGAUAUUAAGUCUGUCUUAAAAGUUCGGGGCUCAACCCCGUGAUGGGAUGGAAACUAAUAUUCUUGAGUGCAGGAGAGGAAAGUGGAAUUCCCAGUGUAGCGGUGAAAUGCGUAGAUAUUGGGAGGAACACCAGUGGCGAAGGCGACUUUCUGGACUGUGUCUGACGCUGAGGCGCGAAAGCCAGGGGAGUGAACGGGAUUAGAUACCCCGGUAAUCCUGGCCGUAAACGAUGGGUACUAGGUGUAGGAGGUAUCGACCCCUUCUGUGCCGGAGUUAACGCAAUAAGUACCCCGCCUGGGGAGUACGCCGCAAGGUUGAAACUCAAAGGAUUGACGGGGCCCGCACAAGCGGUGGAGUAUGUGGUUUAAUUCGACGCAACGCGAGAACCUUACCAGGACUUGACAUCGAUUGAAAGUUCUAGAGGAUAGAACCCUUCUCUUCGGAGAACAAGAAGACAGUGUGCAUGCUGUCGUCAGCUCGUGUCGU
rnacentral:rRNA from 1 species